AGCAUAAGUGCUGGAUCAUGUGGUAAGAAUGUUUAGGUUUUUAAGAAACUGCCAAACUGUCUCCCGAAGUGGCUGUAGUAUUUUGCAUUUCCACCAGCAGU
rnacentral:pre_miRNA from 1 species